rnacentral:tRNA from 1 species
GAGGGUAUAGCUCAAGUGGUAGAGCCCAUGCUUCGCAUGCAUGAGGUCCUCGGUUCAAUCCCUAGUACCUCG